rnacentral:rRNA from 1 species
AUGCUCUCUCAAGGUUUCAAAAGGUCUAAUUAUGAUAGUUGUGUUUAUUUGAAAACUGUCAAAGGUUCAACUAUUUAUUUGCUCCUUUAUGUUGAUGAUAUGCUUAUUGCUGCAAAGAGUAUGUCAGAGAUUAAUGAACUAAAGAAGCAAUUGAGUAAUGAAUUUGAGAUGAAGGAUUUGGGUGCAGCAAAAAAAAUUCUUGGCAUGGAAAUAUCCAGAGAUAGACCGUCUGGAAAAGUAUAUCUAAGUCAGAAGGGAUAUAUUGAUAAAGUUCUUUAUCGUUUUAAUAUGCACAAUGCCAAGCCGGUGAGUACUCCAUUAGCUGCACACUUCAAAUUAUCAUCAGCUUUAUGUCCUAAGUCAGAUGCAGAUAUUGAGUACAUGUCUAGAGUUCCCUAUUCGAGUGUAGUUGGUUCACUUAUGUAUGCCAUGGUUUGUUCUCGUCCGGAUUUAUCAUAUGCAUUGAGUGUUGUCAGUAGAUACAUGGCUAAUCCUGGAAAAGAGCAUUGGAAAGCAGUUCAGUGGAUUUUCAGAUAUCUGCGUGGUACUUCUAAUGCUUAUUUACAGUUUGGGAAAACUGGAGAUGGACUUGUUGGUUUUGUUGAUUCUGAUUUUGUUCGUGAUUUGGAUAAGAGAAGAUCACUCACAGGUUAUGUUUUCACCAUUGGUGGUUGUGCUGUGAGUUGGAGAGCAACUUUGCAGUCUAUUGUGGCUUGUUCCACUACUGAUGCCGAGUAUAUGGCUAUUUCUGAGGCAUGA